rnacentral:lncRNA from 1 species
GAAGAAGUUUCUCAACCGGCUUGUCGGACGUUGGAGAAGCUGGCAAGCUCUUCUGAAUGACCUGAACCCGACCUAGGAAUUUAUCCUUUGUUUUCCUUCGUGGUGGGUGGAUGGCUUGUUGCACAUCAAGGACGGGCAAAACGUGGCUCUGGGAGAUCGUGCGGCCCCACAAGUACUCCAUUUUCUUUGUCGCAUCAAAAGGAGGGUUUGGCCUGAGCGUGUGGACCAUGACAGAUCUAAAGACACGGGCAGAACGCGGGGUCUCGCUUCAGACACCAUGCUUUUCAGUGGGGACUCGUCAUAUAGUGAUGUGCACAGAAGGGCACUUAUGAAUCACCUCCGGGUGAUGCGAGUCGAGGAGCAAAAGUAUGGGAAUUCGGAGAUUUCUGGGGUGAAUCCCCACCUUCCUCCCUGAAGCCUGAAGGGAAAUGGGAACUGAACAGCCAACCCGACUGCUCUCUUCUUGGCCCUGUUAAUUAAGAAAUCCAGACGUAUCGCCUCUUCUCCCCUUUCCGCAUAAAAACCUUGGAAAUUCUAACCCAGUGAUCACACGUAUGGAUGUGCCACUACGUUUGGUAAAGGUCUUGGAGAGAUGAGUACUGUCGUGGAAGGAGAGGUUGUUCCAGGGUGAAGGGGGAUGGCGGGUACCAAAUUCUUCCCGAGUUUUACACUGGUUGAGCAGAACUUCGCGAACCAGGAUGCAAUUAUUGACAAAUGCGCCAAGGUCUUCUUGGUAGCUGAAAGGAGUGGAAGUGCGCGCUUGUGCGUGUGCCUGAUUCCUUUGAACAGAUGUGUUUGGCUCCAGAAAACUAGAGGGGCAAG